GAGAAAAAAACAGAAUUCGAAAAACAAGUGGACUAUGUUAAAACUGAUAGAACACAAAUAGAACAUGAUGAAGGAGAAAAAGUAGUAGAAACACAAAAGGGUGAAAAAGUUGAAGAAGAUGAUGAAGAAGAAGAGGAUGAAGAAGGAGAAGAAAAAAAAGAGGAAGUGUUAGUGGAAAAAGUUGAAAAAGAUGAUGAAGAAGAAGAGGAUGAAGAAGGAGAAGAGGAUGAAGAAGAAGAAGAAAAAAAAGAGGAAGUGUUAGUGGAAAAAGUUGAAAAAGAUGAUGAAGAAGGAGAAGAAAAAGAAAAGGAAGUGUUAGUGGAAAAAGUUGAAGAAGAUGAAGAAGAUGAUGAUGAAGAAGGAGAAGAGGAUGAAGAAGAAGAGGAUGAAGAAGAAGAAAAAAAAGAGGAAGUGUUAGUGGAAAAAGUUGAAGAAGAAGCAGAAGAGGAUGAAGAAGGAGAAGAAAAAGAAAAGGAAGUGUUAGUGGAAAAAGUUGAAGAAGAUGAUGAAGAAGGAGAUGAUGAAGAAGAAGAGGAUGAAGAAGAAGAAAAAAAAGAGGAAGUGUUAGUGGAAAAAGUUGAAGAUGAUGAAGAAGAAGAGGAUGAAGAAGAAGAAAAAAAAGAGGAAGUGUUAGUGGAAAAAGUUGAAGAAGAUGAAGAAGAUGAUGAAGAAGAAGCAGAAGAGGAUGAAGAAGAAGAAGGAGAAGAAAAAGAAAAGGAAGUGUUAGUGGAAAAGGUUGAAGAAGAUGAUGAAGAAGAAAAGGAAGUAGUAGUAAAAAAAGUUGAAGAUGAAGAAGAAAAGAUAAGAGAUUUGGAUGUACACAUAAAAUUAAUAGAUAAAGAAGAAGAAGAGGAAGAAAAAGCGGAAGAAGAAGAAGGUAGAGUACAUUAUAACAUAAAAGUAGAUAUAACAAGCAAAGGAGAGGGUGAAGGAGAGGAAAGGUACAAAAAAGAGGAUGAAGAACAUGUAGUGAUAGUGGAAAAAGAUGAAGAAAAGGAUAAAGAACAUGUAGUGAUGGUGGAAAAAGAUGAAGAAGAGGAUGAAGAACAUGUAGUAAUAGUGGAAAAAGAUGAAGAAGAGGAUGAAGAAGAGGAUGAAGAAGAGGGCGAAGAAGAAGAUGAAGAAGAUGAAGAAGAGGAUGAAGAACAUGUAGUGAUAGUGGAAAAAGAUGAAGAACAGGAUGAAGAACAUGCAGUGAUGGUGAAAAAAGAUGAAGAAAAGGAUGAAGAACAUGUAGUGAUAGUGGAAAAAGAUGAAGAACAGGAUGAAGAAGAGGAAGAGGAUGAACAAGAAGAAGAGGAAGAGGAAGAGGAAGAGGAAGAGGAAGGAAGACAAAAGGAAGAAGAAGGAGAAGGAGAAGAAGAAGGAGAAGGGGAAGAAGAAAGAGAAGNNNNNNNNNNNNNNNNNNNNNNNNNNNNNNNNNNNNNNNNNNNNNNNNNNNNNNNNNNNNNNNNNNNNNNNNNNNNNNNNNNNNNNNNNNNNNNNNNNNNAGAAGGAGAAGGAGAAGAAGAAGGAGAAGGGGAAGAAGAAAGAGAAGGAGAAGGAGAAGGAGAAGGAGAAGGAGAAGGAGAAGGAGAAGGAGAAGGAGAAGGAGAAGGAGAAGGAGAAGGAGAAGGAGAAGGAGAAGGAGAAGAAGAGGAAGAGGAAGAGGAAGAAGAAGAAGAAGAAAAAGAACUGUAUGAAAUAGAUGAAGAAGAAAAACUGAAACAACAAGAAGAGGAAGAGGAUGAAGAGUAUGAUAAAGAAAACGGAGAAGAAGAAGAAUUAGUAGAAGAAGAGGAAGAAGAAGAAGAGGAAGAGGAUGAGGAAGAAGAAGCAAAAAAAAUGCUUGAACUAGAAGAGGCAGAAAAACUGCAUGAAGAUGAAGAUGAAGAUGAAGAGGAAGAGGAAAGAGAGGAAGAAGAGGAAUCGGAAGAACCGAAAGAAGAGGAAGAGGAAGAGGAAUAUGACGACGAAGAAGGCAAAGUACGCGGACAAAGUGUUAUAGUACGAGGUAUGGAAGGAAAU
ensembl:lncRNA